CUUGAAUUCUAAAAUAAUUAAUUUGUUGUACGGCAUCUUACUUCAACGGUGGAAACGAUAUUGGUUGAACGCUUGGGUCCCCGCGAAUAUAAAUUUUCUUGUAAGACCUUGGACUAGGCUGAGAACUACCCCGGAUAGGAAAAAUUAGGUUCAUUACAAGACAGAAAAAAAGCCUUCAAGCAGUUCAUUAAUAGAGUGGGCGGUGAUAAAAUGGCAGUAUUUUUAAGGCAAAGUGUUAAAAAAGUCUUAUCUGAUGAGCUCGCAACAAAUUACACAUGGAGAGGAAUAAAGGAGAAGACUAGUAUACUAACGUAUACUUUCAAAAAAAUAAUAAAAAAUAUGUCUCCUUAAAUUUCCAACUGUAAAUGACAUUAAAAUAAGUUCAGUGCUUCAACCACAUUUUAUACACGCAAAAAACCGGAUUAAGAAGCGAAAGUUGAAAUC